rnacentral:rRNA from 1 species
UAGUCGAAAAUACGAACUGUAGUUUAAAACUUAAAGAUUUUGGCGGUGUCUUAUCAAACCAGGGGAACCUGUCUCAUAACUCGAUAAUCCACGAAUUCUAAACCCUUUUUAGAUCAUUCAGUUUGUAUACUGCCGUCGUAAGUACACCUCUAAAAGUCAAAAGUGUACAAAUAUGACAACUCAUUUACGUCAGGUCAAAGUGCAGCUAAUAAAAGGGGGAUGAUGGGUUACAACCUUAAAAAAGACACGAAUUAAAGCACCAAAAGCUUUAUAAAGGUGGACUUGGCCGUAAUAAGUGUAUAAAACUUAUAUGAAAGUGAAUCUAAGACAUGCACACAUCGCCCGUCACUCUCACCUAAAGGCG